rnacentral:lncRNA from 1 species
UUUCCAAGCUAACCCUAACCCUAGGCUGCCGCAUCUCCCUCAGCUGCGCCCCCUUCACCCUCCACCACCUUCCAGCGCCUCUUCCCGCGCAUCCCGGCCGCCGGAAACAGGUUGGCGUUGUCUUUAUCCACCUUUCACUCCACCUCCUAGGCUGUUGACCUCGGGGAGCUACCCUCACGCCUCGAGACCCUCUCCCUCGGCCGUGGCCCAACCUCCAGCUACUCCCCCGCCGGUCCCUGCCGCCGCCGCGCGUCGCCGUCGCUGCC